rnacentral:rRNA from 1 species
AUGAACGCUAGCGAUAGGCUUAACACAUGCAAGUCGAGGGGCAGCACAAGGUAGCUUGCUCUCUGGGUGGCGACCGGCGCCCGGUUGCUUAACGCGUAUGCAACUUGCCCUAUACAGGAGGAUAACCCGUCGAAAGACGGACUAAUACUGCGUAUGCUCAUAACUUGGCAUCAUGUGGUUAGGAAAGAAAUUCGGUAUAGGAUAGGCAUGCGUCCCAUUAGCUUGUUGGUGAGGUAACGGCUCACCAAGGCAACGAUGGGUAGGGGAACUGAGAGGUUUAUACACCACACUGGUACUGAGACACGGACCAGACUCCUAGGGGAGGCAGCAGAGAGGAAGAUAGGUCAAUGGGCGCGAGCCUGAACCAGCCAAGUCGCGUGAAGGAUGACUGUCUUAUGGAUUGUAAACUUCUGUUAUAAGGGAAUAACAAGAGUCACGUGUGACUACCUGAAUGUACCGUAUGAAUAAGCAUCGGCUAACUCCGUG